CCAGCCUCUGCCAUUCUCCGGCGUAUAAAAAAUGGAAAAUGAAAAACAUCAAUCCUGCCAUCGCUGGCAAGGUUCUCGAACGAGAGCACAUCGAGUACGCUCGAAUUCGAUUCGAGACUACGGAUCGAUUCGAUUCCGACUCGGGCAUCAUCGAUCGUUCGAAUCGCUUCGAACGGGUUGAGAUUCCAUGGAGGGAGCGGGGCUCGGGGAGGAGAAAGCUCGGUUGCUGAGCUCGGGCUCUCGAGUUCGGCUUCGACGAGCAGUCCACCAACAGGUGCUCGGACCGUCUCGUUUUCCUCUACGGUAACUCGAAUCGUUAUCCCGUAGCGCGUUUUUAUGCUAAUUAGCGUUGGCGGAGAUGAUGGAGGUAGCUCUCGUCCACACGAUGAUGAUGGCGGUAGAAUAGUCUUGCUCUAAUUGCUCGUGUUGCGCGGAUAAUUUGUGCAUUUGAAUGAACGUGCGUAUUCCUAAUUAAGGAGAUUCAUUGCAGUUAGUCUCUGUUGUGAUGAUGGCUAUGUAAUAGUAAGUCUACUUUGGAUUUGAAUGGGACCGGAGUUUGGUUCAUUGAGCGUUAAUCUCAUCCCCUGUUUCUUUGUGGGUUUGGCGGAGUAGUCCUAUUGACAAGCGAACCGUCUGGCUUUUUCUGAACUCACUGCAAAUUGCUUAUGGGUGUCUUGCAAUAAUACUAAUAUCGUGUCUCACUAAACUAAAUGUAGAUUAUGUAUUGUAGAUUGUAUUUAUUUGAUCUCUUUUUUGCCAUGGGUCUUGCAAAAUUAUCUCUUUCUUCUUUUGGUUCUCUUAAGGUGAUGAAGGUCAAGAGUUUAUCACUGUGGCAAUGUCUUCCUAGCAGAACUUGCCGAAACCAUGCAAGACUCCGAGGAUUGGGAUGAUUUGCAAGCUGUGGAAUCAGAAGCUUGUGGAGUUUUGACUGAUAUGUUUGGCCAAUAUAUCCGUAAUGACGGUGAAUGCAAUGUUAUACAAGAUGUCGAUAUUAUAGAAGAUUCUCCACAGCCUGUGAAAAAUCAAACCUUCCUUGAGGUGGAUUCCUCUACUGACAGUGAAGACGAAGAUGAUGUUUUGGGCAGUAAAACGGGUAGGAUAUCCUCAUGCUAUGUUCCUGACCAAAGCAGAACUCUCAAAUUGUGGCCAGAUGAUCUUUAGAAUCCACGGCACUACUAGCUGGUUUUGUUAUUGAUGAGGCACAUUGCAUGAGGUAUGUGUAAUCUUUGGCAUGCCAUGGUACAUGAAGAAAGAUCAUGGUAGAAUCACUUCAGAAGGAAUAAUUAUUUGUGAUGUCAUUGCAAAACUGUUGUCCCUGUUCCGGAUAAAUAUAAGCAAGUUAACUUUUAUAUAUGCUAACUUAAACUCUUUUUCCAAACUCUUCUGCAUUUUUCUGUGUUUCUCAGUGUUAUGCUAGACCUACUGAAGCCCAGAACCUUGUGAAGAAUUCAAUGUUCCAUGUUUGAUGAAAAGAUUUAGGUUCCGUCGUUUGGGAACACUUAGCAGCACAUCAUUCAUUAUAUUGAGUAAAGAGGACACAACUUAAAUAAGCUCCAAUGGAAAUUACUUCCUAGACUAAUUGGAACCGGCAUAAGCUUGGAUAAGGAUCCAAUCUCCUCUCUAUGUUUGGCAUGAUACUCAGUCUCUUAAGGUGGUUCUUGUGUCCCUAUUUAUUCUAUUAAUGCUUAUACUUAACGUUAACAACUUGAGAAAGGCAAAGGUUCAACCAUGUGAUCAUUGAUUGUGUUUCUUACAAGGUCUUAAAUGGAUUUGCUCUGCCAGUUUGAUCUCAUGAAAGGAACGUACUGCUGGUUUGAGCUUUUCUUGUACAUUUGACUGGUUAACGUUGAAAGCUCAUUGGUUGUCACUUUCGUGGUUGUCAUUAUUGUAGUCUAUGGGGACAUUUCGUCCAGAUUAUAGGGGACUGGCAUGUCUCAAGCAGAACUUUCCGUAUGUCCCAGUGAUGGCUUUAACUGCAACUACCACUCAGUCAGUUCGUAAGGAGUGGAUUAAACUUUCGUGGUGGAAUGGCCCAGAGAAGCAGAGGAAGAGGAGGCUGGCCGGAUACAAGCUUUAUUUGGUCGAGGGCAAGUUCAAGGCUUGUAUCAAAUGAGGGUUCCGAUGAUUGAAGCGAAAGUGCUCGAACAUCAUGCGUCAAUUUUAAUAUGUAGAAAUUACAGAAUAUCAUGCUCAUCGUCAUCGAGAGAGAAAAGGGUGGGAUUAGUCGAGAGGAAACAGAGAGAUUUCUUAUGUUUAUCAGGUUUUCAUCUUUAUAUGCAUCUAAUGGUAAUUAAGUAUUCAGAAGAGUGCCACAAUGUUUAAUCUUUCCGAUAUUACAUUUGUUUGAAUCAUUGUUUCAUUCAUCGAUCUCCAGCAUUCAAAACAUAGGAAAAUGAGACGACUCAUAUUUGAUAUUCA